UUGCAUGUAUUGUUUGGGGCCCAUCUAAUACCUGACUAUGCGUUUAUGGUUGGUCCCGGCUGCAACCUUCACUCUUCUUCUUCUCCUUGGCUCUUCGUCUCCUCGAAACUCAGACCCCCACAUCUGUAACGCAUCCGCUUCCGUAUUAAACCUUCCUUUCAAUCUCAGUUAAGUCGACCCCCACAUCUCCACUACGUUUCUUUACUUCACAACAUCCGUCCUCUUCAGUUUCGUCGCGAUUUUGAACCUAUAAAUAGGCAUCUUCGUCUUUGUGGUUUCCACAGAUUCAUCGCUCCUCUCUACUCAAAAAUCAGAGACACUCAUACAUGAACGAUUGCCGCUUCCCAGAUCUCUGUUUCCGGGAUGAAGCAAGUAUCGGAGGAGGAGCCUCACUUGAGAUCAAAGAGAAGGAAGAAACUUCAUCAAUGCGUCAAAGUCUCUGAUCUAAGAAGAAUUGCAGGUGGUUCACAGAAGAAAGGUGUAUGCUUGGGUUCUCACUGAUCAUCUAACAUUGCUGAAUGGAGUUUUAUCCUAGGCAAAAGUGGUACAAUAAAAGAUUUCACACAGCCUCCAAGGUGAUAACGAAAGUAUCAAUAACAAGAUAUGGGAAAUCGCAAAACAUACAAAAAGCAGUGAAAACAUUUCAUCUCUCCAAUUGAGAAGGGGAUGUUCCUACAUCUCUGUGUAUAUAUUGAUUAAACUUUUGAUAAAAUCUUUUUUCGUGUCUUACGUUUCAUCUGUGGUUACCUUUGACAGAUUGUCUCGGUCCAGUGUCUCCCAUGUAUGACAUUCAUUAUCCCGUCAGCAACGACCAUAAUACUUGACAGGAAGAAGCUACGGAGGACAAAGACACUCUGAUUAGCUUAGCUAAGCAAACAUACUGGAACUUUGUGGGACAACUCAAGAAGCAUUCUGUCAUCACAGAAUCCAGAUUUGGGGUGUGCAUACCCAUGUGGAUCAACACAAUUCCUACAUACGAGAUUUUACUGGGAAAGGGAACUUCUUUUGAUUUCAAUAAUGUUAGGACCAUUCUUUUCUCUUCGAUUGAGAUAAAGUUCCUAAAAUAGCUGAUCUCACGAAUCAGAAGAUGAUUGAAAGCUAUCCAUAUCCUGUAAGAAACAAAAUAUAUUUUUGUUAUGGACCAUACACUAAUACAAGCUGUGAAACACAGUAACCCAAGCAUUAAAAUUAAUAAUGAUAUCAUAAUAUAUUUCACUUUGAACAA